GCACUACUGAAGAGUCCCAUACUAGGAUGAAACGGCCGUCCAGUGU
rnacentral:hammerhead_ribozyme from 1 species